GGACUACCGGGGUUUCUAAUCCUGUUUGCUCCCCACGCUUUCGUGCCUCAAUGUCAGGAAUGAGCCAAGAAGCUGCCUUCGCCAUUGGUGUUCCUCCCGAGAUCCACGCAUUUUACCGCUACUCCGGGAAUUCCACUUCUCUCUCUCACCCUCUAGCGCGCCAGUUUUCAUUGCAAUACUCCAGUUAGGCCGGAGCCUUUAACAACGAACUUAACAUGCCAUCUACGCACCCUUUACGCCCAGUGAUUCCGAAUAACGCUCGCACCCUUCGUAUUACCGCGGCUGCUGGCAC
rnacentral:rRNA from 1 species